AUUGAACGCUGGCGGCAGGCCUAACACAUGCACGUCGAGCGAGCGGCGGACGGGUGAGUAAUGUCUGGGACACUGCCUGAUGGAGGGGGAUAACUACUGGAAACGGUAGCUAAUACCGCAUACCAUCCUCUGUGCCCAGAUGGGAUUAGCUAGUAGGUGGGGUAACGGCUCACCUAGGCGACGCUCCCUAGCUGGUCGGAGAGGAUGACCAGCCACACUGGAACUGAGACACGGUCCAGACUCCUACGGGAGGCAGCAGGGGGGAAUAUUGCACAAUGGGCGCAAGCCUGAUGCAGACAUGCCGCGUGUGUGAAGAAGGCCUUCGGGUUGUAAAGCACUUUCAGUGGGGAGGCGUUACCCGCAGAAGAAGCACCGGCUAACUACGUGCCAGCAGCCGCGGUAAUUC
rnacentral:rRNA from 1 species